rnacentral:rRNA from 1 species
GACGAACGCUGGCGGCGUGCUUAACACAUGCAAGUCGAACGGAAAGGCCCUGCUUUUGUGGGGUGCUCGAGUGGCGAACGGGUGAGUAACACGUGAGUAACCUGCCCUUGACUUUGGGAUAACUUCAGGAAACUGGGGCUAAUACCGGAUAGGAGCUCCUGCUGCAUGGUGGGGGUUGGAAAGUUUCGGCGGUUGGGGCUGGACUCGCGGCUUAUCAGCUUGUUGGUGGGGUAGUGGCUUACCAAGGCUUUGACGGGUAGCCGGCCUGGGAGGGUGACCGGCCACAUUGGGCCUGAGAUACGGCCCAGACUCCUACGGGAGGCAGCAGUGGGGAAUAUUACACAAUGGGCGGAAGCCUGAUGCAGCAACGCCGCGUGCGGGAUGACGGCCUUCGGGUUGUAAACCGCUUUCGCCUGUGACGAAGCGUGAGUGACGGUAAUGGGUAAAGAAGCACCGGCUAACUACGUG